UGUCGUCAGCUCGUGUUGUGAAAUGUUGGGUUAAGUCCCGCAACGAGCGCAACCCUUAUCCUUUGUUGCCAGCGGUCCGGCCGGGAACUCAAAGGAGACUGCCAGUGAUAAACUGGAGGAAGGUGGGGAUGACGUCAAGUCAUCAUGGCCCUUACGACCAGGGCUACACACGUGCUACAAUGGCGCAUACAAAGAGAAGCGACCUCGCGAGAGCAAGCGGACCUCAUAAAGUGCGUCGUAGUCCGGAUUGGAGUCUGCAACUCGACUCCAUGAAGUCGGAAUCGCUAGUAAUCGUGGAUCAGAAUGCCACGGUGAAUACGUUCCCGGGCCUUGUACACACCGCCCGUCACACCAUGGGAGUGGGUUGCAAAAGAA
rnacentral:rRNA from 2 species